AGGCGGGAGAUGGCGCUUCUUCCGGGUCCGGGAGCUCGGGCUGCGCCGCCCCGCCCUGGCUGGGGGCUUCGGCCUCCGGGUAAUGGGGAAGAAGGAGAGGAGGCGGAGCGGGUCGGGAGAAAGACGGCCGCCCCUUCGGGAACAGAGGGACUCGGGGGUCAAACCGUAGCGCUUCCGGCCCCGCCUCUGAGGUCGACGGCGACGCGAAUCUACGCGACGCGACGCGGAGCUCGGAGCAGCGUUCCUUCCCUCUCGUAGAGGCUCAGGCGCAGGCACCGCCCCACGGCGAGGCGCGUCGCUUAGCAGAGCCCGCCCUGUCUCUGCGGCAGCCUAUCGACGCCAGCCCGCGGGCCGAUCCUGUUCCCGCCCCCGACCGGAGCCUUUCGGGUGGCUCCGCCCACAGCGGGCGUUUCCUCAAGCCACGCCUGCGCAGGUCGUCGGGGGAGACUGAUGAAGAGACGACUAUCCCCAGACCGUAUUUUAACUACUAUGGCGCUGUGUAAGAAGCAACCUGAGAAGUGUGGAUGAAAAGCUACAGGUAGAGCCCUGGGCCCAAGACGGUGGCUUGGACAACAUGCUAAAUAAACUAUAAACUAGAUGGUAUUUGAAGCUACGAGAGUAGAUAAAAAUGACAGGAGGACCAAGGAGAAACUUGGGAACGCCAAUGUUUAAGAAACGGGAAAGCAAAAAAAAAAAAAAACACACACAAAAAAACAAUGUAACCAGAGCCACAAAAACCAGAAUCACAGCAAGGGAUUCUGAUGUUUACAUUAUGUCCUGUUUCCAUGUUGACACAUUACACAAGGACAGUUUUUUUCUAAUUGCUUAAUUUUUCAUCAUCUUCCAUCCGAUUUACUGAACCAUCCUUAACUUUAGGAUGAAUCCUUU